CAUCAUCCUCAGGUUGUUAGAUAUUGAUCUCUCCACACAAUUAUGUGUAAUGAGGUGCGGCGCCUCAGUUGGAGAUCCAUGGCUAAUGCCAGAGCAUGACAAAGUAGAGACCACUACAUGAGUCAUUUUCCAAGAACCCUUCUUGCCUUCAGAUGCUCAUCCCCCAGGCCGGGUCAUUCCUUGGAUCUUUAGCUCAUUACGACGUUGGACAUCUACGGACGAAUAAAGCAAUUAUGUGGUGUGAAAGACACCACGGUUUGGGACUCGAAUUGAUACCAAGGGAAUCUCCGACAGCUGGAUGCUAUUCUGAGCUGACGAGAAACUGCUUUCCAAAAGACUCGGGGGAGGAGGAGGAGCCGUGUGUGCAGAGCAGCAAAGACUCUGAGAAGUGAGGCUCGUGUCUUACCAGGCGUCCGCCUCAGGUCUUCCUCUUCA